UACAGAGGGUGCAAGCGUUAUCCGGAUUCACUGGGUUUAAAGGGUGCGUAGGCGGGUUGGUAAGUCCGUGGUGAAAUCCCCAAGCUUAACUUGGGAACUGCCGUGGAUACUAUCAAUCUUGAAUAUCGUGGAGGUAAGCGGAAUAUGUCAUGUAGCGGUGAAAUGCUUAGAUAUGACAUAGAACACCAAUUGCGUAGGCAGCUUACUACACAAUCAUUGACGCUGAGGCACGAAAGCGUGGGGAUCAAACAGG
rnacentral:rRNA from 1 species